rnacentral:rRNA from 1 species
AACGAACGCUGGCGGCAUGCCUAACACAUGCAAGUCGAACGAGACCUUCGGGUCUAGUGGCGCACGGGUGCGUAACGCGUGGGAACCUGCCCUUAGGUUCGGAAUAACUCCCCGAAAGGGGUGCUAAUACCGGAUAAUGUCUUCGGACCAAAGAUUUAUCGCCUUUGGAUGGGCCCGCGUUGGAUUAGCUAGUUGGUAGGGUAAAAGCCUACCAAGGCGACGAUCCAUAGCUGGUCUGAGAGGAUGAUCAGCCACACUGGGACUGAGAAACGGCCCAGACUACUACGGGAGGCAGCAGUGGGGAAUAUUGGACAAUGGGGGGAAGCCUGAUCCAGCAAUGCCGGGUGAGUGAUGAAGGCCUUAGGGUUGUAAAGCUCUUUUACCCGGGAUGAUAAUGACAGUACCGGGAGAAUAAGCUCCGGCUAACUCCGUG